UACGUAGGGUGCAAGCGUUGUCCGGAAUUAUUGGGCGUAAAGAGCUCGUAGGCGGUCUGUUGCGUCGGCUGUGAAAACCCGAGGCUCAACCUCGGGCCUGCAGCCGAUACGGGCAGACUAGAGUUCGGCAGGGGAGACUGGAAUUCCCGGUGUAGCGGUGAAAUGCGCAGAGAUCGGGAGGAACACCAAUGGCGAAAGCAGGUAACUGGACUAUUACUGACACUCAACUGCGAAAGCUAGGGGAGCAAACAGG
rnacentral:rRNA from 1 species